CGCUGCCCCAUCAAGGCCCCUGGAGCCUCCCUGGAGGGCCUCGCCCCGAAGCUAGGGUCGGGCUUCCGGGUUCUCCCCUAAGGAGGAAGCCACCUUGGGCCGGUGUGGGGUAGAGGCCUGAUGACCCCGGAAGUAGUUGGCCGCAUGCUAGGAGAAGGAAACCAAGGCCCCCAGGAUGGACUGGUACGCAGGCCUGUUAAGUGGAGGCUCAGAAAUGCCUUGACUCCUCUGGAAGUUGAGGGCUGUCCUCUUGGAAAGAAUGAAGUCAGGCUCCAGCAGUGGCAUCUCAUCCUCCCACCAACCUGGCUGCAAACCCCGCUUUCCCACGGACCUUCAGAGGAGCCAGGAGACAUGUUAACAACACAGCAUCAUCCAGGAAAAUAGAGGCUGUGCUGAGACCGAGGGAAUCCUUAACUUUUAUCCCCUCGGGUAGAACGAGGAAUAACGUCAAGAAUUAUUUCUGGACUCUUUCCAGCCCAACAACAGGCCCGAGCUUGUGUCGGUGUUUCAGCCAGCGAGGCAAGUGAACCUGCUCCUGACAUUGGGACUACUUUUGCUUCCCUCACAAAGGCUGCGGAGGGUUACUGAAUGCCAACAGCGUGAGUUGUCCUUCGCCCAUAAAUACGCCUCUCCCGGCUCUGCGGCAGGCAUUCAGGCAGCGAGCGCAGAGGUGACUGCUGAGGCCGAGGCACUACUUGAGGAAACCAGAUAAGUUUUUUCUAUUAAAAAAGAGAUAGAAAAUAAUAUUAUUUAGGAAAUGUAAAUAGCGAAGGUGCUUACUGAGAUAUUGCUUAGCAUUAAUAUUUUAACUUUUAUAACAAAGAUCUUACUUAAGGGAAAAUAUAAUGAAGACUUACCUAAAAAGUAGUUUCAGAAAGGAAGAGAGAAGAAAAAUAUUUCCAGAACAUGACGGAGAUGAAACUUCUUUACGAAGUAAAAAUAAUUUUCAAGGAAGUGGCUGAUAGGAUUGCAAAGCCUGAACUAAAAAAAAAAAAAAAAAAAAAAGCCUUAAAUGGAAGGGCAAACUAAAAAUACCAUUAAACCGUAGGUGACAUAAUUGUCAUUUAAAGAAAGUUGGAGAUGGUUAAACUAUAUAUUAAAUGCCGUAUUUAAAAGAGAAAAUUGAAGGUGAUUUAAGAGGCCUUCAAAUUCAUGACGCAGGAAAGAUUGUCAUUUGAAGCCGAAUUGCUCUUACGGCAUUAUUAGCUCAAGAUGGGGCAAUUGUUAAUUUAGAAGUCGUAGGAUAAAAUUUUGGAGAAAGAAAUUUGAAGUGGAAAACUUGGAAGACAGAAGUGUACAGGAAGGUGAAGAAAAAGACUUAGAGAAGACAGGAAAAUAGAAGAUAAAACAUGUAUUUUAGAAGACAGAAAAACUAAGUCCAAAAGGUAGAAAGCAGAAGAGAAAGUGUUGAGACAAACUAACCAAAGCAACUAAGGGCACAGAUACAAAUGUAGUAGAAAAUGAGAAGAUACAAGUUUAGAAAAAUAGAAGAUAGAAAAUGAGAUACAGAUUAAGUAGAAAAUAGAAGAUAGAAAAUGAAGAUACAAGUUUAGAAAAAUAGAAGAUAGAAAAUGAGAUACAGAUUAAGUAGAAAAUAGAAGAUAGAAAAUGAGAAGAUACAAGAUUAGAAAAAUAGAAGAUAGAAAAUGAGAUACAUAUAAAGUAGAAAAUAGAAGAUAGAAAAUGAGAAGAUACAAGUUUAGAAAAAUAGAAGAUAGAAAAUGAGAUACAGAUAAAGUAGAAAACUAGAAGAGAAAAAGAGAAGAUAACAGUUUAAGUAGAAAAAUAGAAGAUAGAAAAUGAGAAGAUACAAGUUAGAAAAGUAGAAGAUAGAAAAUGAGAAGAUACAAGUUAGAAAAGUAGAAGAUAGAAAACGAGAAGAUACAAAUUUAGAAAACUAGAAGAUAGAAGGUUGUCAAGAAAAGUAUUUCAGCUAGAAGAUAGUACAGGAACAAAAGGAGGAAAUUAAAUUUUUAAUAACUUAUAAUUUAAUAAGAAUUUAUUAUAAAAGCCCAUGAGUUUAAUUUCAAAACUAAGGGUAGGAUGUUUUUUGGAAGACUUAAAAAAACUUGAAAGGCUUAAAUACAUUAGUUUAGUUCUCUUUGGAAAAUUUAAAGGACUUUCAUAACAAGUAAUUCGAGAUCAAGAAUAAUCAACGCUUUUGGUUUGGACUGAGCUCAGAUGAUUUAAACCUGAGGACUAGCGUUAAUUGUCAGCUGACCAGGUGCCAGCAGAAGUGGACUCAGGAAGCUAGGAAGACAGGAGCGACAGACAGGACCCCAGGAGCCAGUGUGGUGAAGCUAGGACUGAGCCGCCAGCGGCGAUCGUGAAGAUAGGCCAGGAGCCCGGGAGCCAGUGCGCGAGGAGGAGCUAGCACGGAGGAAGGCGCUGAGGCGGUGCAGCUAGGAGAGGCCUCCGGGAAGGAGGAGGAGCCAGUGCGAUGUGCCGACGCCGGCGUGCGACUGGGCGACCACGCGGAGGCGGCGAGCAGGCGUGUGGAGGAAGGAGGAUGGAGGAUGGAGGAUAGAUAGCGGAGCCUAGAGCAGCGGGCGUCCCAGUGUGCGAGGCCGCGUGCGGGCAGCCAGUGGUGGUAAAAGUCCGGGAGGUCGGCCGCGCCCUGGCUUUUGGUAACGAGUAUGGUAACCUUUACUUUACUAAUGGUAAUGGGGGAGUUGUACUUAAGCGGCAAGGGCUUUCUUAUGGAAUGUAGGCCGAUUUCCGGGUGUUGUAGGUUUCUCUUUUUCAGGCUUAUUUUCUCAUGCAUCUUGUCUGAAGCUUUUGAGGGCAGACUUCCAAGGCCCGGAGGAAUGGUAGAUGGCAAGUUUUAUGGUUUUUGUCUUUUAACCAAUUUGAGGGAAACAUGAAUUGAGACAAAAUUUAAGGCAAGUUUUGUAAGCGGCUUUUUUUUUUUUUAUAGCUUGGGGUAAUGAAACAUUUGAGUUUUGUGAAUGUCAAGUUUGGGCAUGUAUGGGGGGAAAGUUUUUGUGGGGGGGCAAAAUGUCUUGAGUUCUUUUCCCUUAGGUCUGUCUAGAAUCUCAAAGGCAAAUGACUCAAGGUAACAGAAAAAAAGAAAAUCCAGUAUCAGGAUAAUCAGAACACCACAGGUUUACAGUUUCUAGAAAUUAGAGCACGAGCAGUUCUCACUUUGAGGUCUGUGGAGGAGCUGUGCAUUGGAAAGAUGGCUGGUAGUUACUCUUUUUUUCCACCCCAUAAUCAGAUUUUUAAAAGUAUGUAAUCCUUAUAUUUGAAGUAUUUCGGGGUGUUCUUAACAGGGAAAAGGGUGGGGGGAGCAAAAUGUUUUUUUCUAAGAUUUUCCACAGAUGCUAUAGUGCUAUUGGCAAACUGGGUUAGAGAAGGAUUGGGCCGAUAUGCUGUUGGCAACACCGCCUUUAGGGAUUGGAGCUGCUGCUUUCUUCUUGGAAGAGAAUUCCCAGGUGAAGCUGGAAGGUACAGCACAGUGCAGCUUUGGUUCACAUUCAGUCAUCUCAGGAGAACUUCAGAAGAUCUUGACUAGGCCAAAUGUUGAAGUUAAGUUUUCAAAUGUGACUUUUAAAGUAACCUUUUAUUAAAAGGGGAGGAGCAAAUUUUGGUAAUGAACCUUUGUCAGUAGCUUGUUAUGGUUGGGGUUGGGAGGGUUGGGUUUAGGUAAUUGUUUAGUUUAUGAUUUCAGAUAAACUCAUGCCAGAGAACUUAAGUACUUAGGAUGAAAAAACUAAGAAAUCUCAACUUCCAUGUUGGCAAGUAACUCCCAAUCUUCAAGUUUUUGUUUUCCUUCAAUUUUUGAAUUGAGCAGCUGGGAAGUUUCAUGAAGAUCCACUGGAUUCAAAAUGUAGGGCCUGGGGAAGGAAAGUGUUGGACGGGGUGGUCUAGCCCCCUGGGCUGACAAAGAUAACAUCUUGGGGAUUUUUUGAACACUAAAGUUUGGAUAUGGUAGUGUGUGUUGGUUCUCUUUUGGAAUUUUUUUCAGGUGGUUUAAUAAAAGUUAAUGCUAUAGGAGCUUCAGAGCAGAGGAAGUGGCUUAAUGAUCCUGAAGGGAUUUCUUCUGAUGGUAGCUUUUGUGUUAUCAAGUAAGACCCUAUUUUUAAUUGUACAUAAGCAAGUGUGUUUUUUUAGUGUAGGAAAAUAUUUCUCCUUUGACUGCAAAACAAGAUGUUAAGGUAUGCUUUAAAAUUAUUGUCAAUUGUAUAUUUUAUGUUUGCAUCCUAAGUAUUGGUAAAUCAUAACUGAUUAAAGAAAGGGUGGGCUUUGUUGAUGAGGGAGGGGAAAUCUUUUUUUCUGUAGACCUUUUUCAGAUAACAUCUUCUGAGUCAUAACCAGCCUGGCAAUAAUGAUGGCCUAGAUGGAGAGGGAACAACUCCUUGGUGAAUGAUAAGUAAAAGCAGAAAAGAUUAUAUUUCAUACCUUCAUUGGGGAAAAAGCAUAACCCUGAGAUCCUAACUACUGAUGAAAACAUUGUCUGCAUAUGCCAGAAAAGCAAAUGAAAGCUACCAAUUUAAAGUUAAUGGAAUCUACCAUUUUAAAGUUACGGCUUAUCAAGCUAUACCCACAAAAAAAAAAAUGAAUCGAGAAAUUAAAUAAUGAAUUGAGAAAUACAAUGAAGAUCAUAUGUCCAUCUCAAAAUACUGCUUUUACAAAAGCAGAAUAUAAAUGAAAUGAAAAUGAUAAUACUACAUAAAUCCCGGAAUAAAAGAAGCUGAAAUAAUUCAGAGGAGUUGGGAUCAAGUGGAUUCAGAGGAGAGGAGGCUGUGCUGUGUGCCAAUCUUUCGUUUGCCUCAGACAGGUUCUCUUCGUUAUCAGAAGAGUUGCUUCAUUUCAUCUGGGAGCAGAAAACAGCAGGCAACUGUUAACAGAUAAGUUUAACUUGCAUCUGCAGUACUGCAUGUUAGGGCUAAGUGUUUAUGUUUACUAAGAGCUGUGGGGGUCUUCGGUACUGAACAUGGCCCCCUUCCUGGUCCCUUCCCUGAGGACUCCAGGAUUGUGAGGAAUUUUCCCAUUCAGCCUUCUUAAGGUUAGACAGGACGUUGUACCUGUGGCUUCCAUGAUGGGAUAGCACCUCACUCAGAGGCAAGUUAAUUCUUGAAGCCUCUCCAGAUUAGUACUUAAUAAAACUGAAUUUUUUGUUUAGCACGGAAUAAUUGAAAAACCCUAUGAAAGGAUAGGAUAAGAUGUGCUGUUCAUCAGAUGUUAAUCUUGCUAAAAUUUAAAAGUUGUGUUGUAUGUUGUGCAGAAAACCAUUAAAUCGUUCAAAAUAAAACAUUUAAUAGAGAAUGUAUGCUUUUAGGAAGCAGCUGUCUCCUUAUUUAAAUAAAAUACUGUUUGUUUUGUGGUUAGUGUUGGGCAAUCUUGGGGGGAUUCUUCUCUAAUCUUUCAGAAACUUUGCGAACACUCUUUAAUGGACAAGAUCAGGAAUUGAGCGGAAGAAGGACUUUAACUCUUAAGGCAGGAAACACAAAUUUUAUUCUUCAUAAAUUGAUGAGCAUUUAAUAAUGCCAGGCACAUGGCAAUAGAGGGCCUCUAAAUAAGGAAUAAGUGCCUCUUAGGACAGGUGGGAGAUAAUCAGGAAAACAGGUAACUGCACCUACACUGUUUCCAGAAAGUCCAGGGGUCUAUAAACUUAGAGCAAUAAAAUACUGUUUACGUGUCCAAAGUUUGCAUGUUAACUUCAAUGCUUAUGUCCAUCUCACCCAGUAUUAGCUAAUGUUCACACUAUUGGCCUUUUAUGUAGACACGAGUGGGGCAUGUGGGUUUUUUAAGAAUUUUCCUUUGCAGAGGCUUCAUUUCAUCCCUCAUGAAGCUGUUCAGGACUUUGACUUGCAUCUAGCGCUUGGCUCUGCCUUCUGUUCUCCUAGUGUGUGAGACCUUGCAGUGAGUUUCUCAGCAUACUCAAGUAACAUUCCCCCUCUGGAUCUUCAAGGGAAGGGAGGAGGGGGUGGGGCUUACUUGUCAGCUUUUUUUUUUACAGACUACACAGAAUGCGGUUGUCUUGACCUCAGGUCUGUCUGUUCUGUUGGCAAGUAAUGCAGUACUGUUCUGAUCCGCUGCUGUUAGAAUGCAUUGUGAGACGACUGGAGUAUGAUUAAAAGUUGUGUUUGCCCCAAUGCUUGGAGUAGUGAUUGUUGAAGGAAAACCCAGCUGAGUGAUAAAGGCUGUGUGUUGAGGAAAUUUCUGCAGCUUUAAGUAUUCAUGUUUGUGAUUGAAGCCAAGUAACCUUUUGCUGUGCUUUAGGUAAAAUGCUUUUUGUUCUUUCCUGGUAGGGGGGUGGGGAGGGCACUGAAGCCUUUAGUCUUUUCCAGAUGCAACUUAAACUCAGUGACAAGAAAUAACCCCCAAACAAGCAAGUCUUCAAGAAAUUUAACUGGCAAGUGGAAAUGUUAAUACAGUUCAGUGGUCUUAGUGCAUUGUUGUGUGGGUUUCUCUCUCCCCUCCCUUGGUCUUAAUUCUUACACACAGGAACAUGCAAAACAGCAGACGUAUGCGAAGGGCCAGAGAAGCCAGCCCCAGUAAGGAAAAAUAGCUUAUUUACUUAAACAAACAAAUAUUCGUAUUCUGUGUGGGGAUUGGGAGCCACUAGUUCUUUCAGGUGGUAUUCUUCAGACAUAGAAGGAGCUGCCAGUGCAUUCACCAGUGGACAAAAUGAGGACAACAGGUGACCGAGCCUUUUCUGUUUCAUACCGAGUCAGUCACGGGUAAAGGACUUAGUGUGGAAUAGGCUUCAGCUUUAUGCUGGAGCAAAUAGUACGCACAUAGCACGUUGUUGGCCUGGGGGCGGAGGGGUGAGGUGGGCGCUAAGCCUUGUUUUUUAAGAUUUUUCAGGUAUACCUCACUAAAGGCACCGAAGGCUUAAAGUAGGACAACCCGGAGCCUUCCUGUGGCAAGAGACAACAAAGCGCUAUUAUACUCAGGUCAAAAGGGUGUCGGCCUCAACCCCAUCCUCUCAGAAACGAGGACUUGCCUUAACACUUGGCAGGCAUGCAGUGGUCCUCUUUCCUGGGGAGUGAAGCGCCCAGAGGGAUGCCUGCGUACCUUGUAAACCCCCGGGCUUGUCCGAACAUUGAAUUCAGCUGUUUUUAUAGCAGCUCUUAAAGCCUGAACAAGCUUCAAGUGAUGCUUGAAGGGGCGGGAAAGGGGUAAAGCGGCAACCCCUUUUCCCUAGCUUUUCCAGAAGCCUGUUAAAAAGCAAGGUCUCCCCACAAGUGACUUCUCUGCCACAUCGCCACUCCCUGCCUUUGGCCUAGCGCAGACCCUUCACCCCUCACCUCGAUGCUGCCAGUAGCUUGGAUCCUUGGCAUGGUCCAUACCUGUCGCAAGGUAUUUUCCAUGCAU